rnacentral:tmRNA from 1 species
GGGGCUGUCAUGGUUUCGACAGGCAAUAGUUUGAAAUGAACUGCAGUGGACUGAUGACCUAAUCAUCACCCAGAAAAAUAACUGGAAACAACAAUUACGCAUUUGCUGCUUAAUUAACGAAUAAACGUUUGCAGCAUGAGUCAUACUCGUUUAUGUCUUUGGACGGUAUGCUCAUUAACACACAAGGACUAAGCUUAUGUUUGCUUGAAACAUAGGACGAAAACUAAAAGCAAAUCGGGUAAUGAGUUUUGUAUGUUUUAGAACUACUUGAUUAUUAAAAACGUAAUAAACUGUAGAUGUUCAUUUGUGGGACGUUGCUUGGACGAGGGUUCGACUCCCUCCAGCUCCACCA